rnacentral:rRNA from 1 species
UGAGGAAUAUUGGUCAAUGGGCGGGAGCCUGAACCAGCCAAGUCGCGUGAGGGAUGACGGUCCUAUGGAUUGUAAACCUCUUUUGUCGGGGAGCAACAGAGUCACGAGUGACUGAAAGUGAGAGUACCCGAAGAAAAAGCAUCGGCUAACUCCGUGCCAGCAGCCGCGGUAAUACGGAGGAUGCGAGCGUUAUCCGGAUUUAUUGGGUUUAAAGGGUGCGUAGGCGGACUGGUAAGUCAGCGGUAAAAUUGAGAGGCUCAACCUCUUCCCGCCGUUGAAACUGUCGGUCUUGAGUGGGCGAGAAGUAUGCGGAAUGCGUGGUGUAGCGGUGAAAUGCAUAGAUAUCACGCAGAACUCCGAUUGCGAAGGCAGCAUACCGGCGCCCAACUGACGCUGAAGCACGAAAGCGUGGGUAUCGAACAGG